UACGAAGGGUGCAAGCGUUACUCGGAAUUACUGGGCGUAAAGCGUGCGUAGGUGGUUUGUUAAGUCUGUUGUGAAAGCCCCGGGCUCAACCUGGGAAUGGCAAUGGAUACUGGCAAGCUAGAGUGCGGUAGAGGGUAGUGGAAUUCCCGGUAGUAGCGGUGAAAUGCGUAGAGAUCGGGAGGAACACCAGUGGCGAAGGCGGCUACCUGGACCAUGACUGACGCUGAGGAGCGAAAGCCAGGGGAGCAAACGGG
rnacentral:rRNA from 1 species